rnacentral:rRNA from 1 species
AUUGAACGCUGGCGGAAUGCUUUACACAUGCAAGUCGAACGGCAGCACGGACUUCGGUCUGGUGGCGAGUGGCGAACGGGUGAGUAAUGUAUCGGAACGUGCCCAGUCGUGGGGGAUAACGUAGUGAAAAUUACGCUAAUACCGCAUACGAUCUAUGGAUGAAAGCGGGGGAUCGCAAGACAUCGCGCGAUUGGAGCGGCCGAUAUCAGAUUAGGUAGUUGGUGGGGUAAAGGCCCACCAAGCCAACGAUCUGUAGCUGGUCUGAGAGGACGACCAGCCACACUGGAACUGAGACACGGUCCAGACUCCUACGGGAGGCAGCAGUUGGGAGUUUUGGACAAUGGGCGAAAGCCUGAUCCAGCCAUUCCGCGUGCAGGAUGAAGGCCCUCGGGUUGUAAACUGCUUUUGUACAGAACGAAAAGGUUUCUACUAAUACUAGGAGCUCAUGACGGUACUGUAAGAAUAAGCACCGGCUAACUACGUGCCAGCCGCCGCCGUAA